AUAUUUUAGAACCGUGUACGGGCCACCUGAAGAGAAAAUUUAUCAAACAGUGCUGGAGAAAGUGUGGUUGUGGUAAACAUUGUGGCAAUCGAGUGGUGCAGCGGGGCAUAAGUUAUAAUAUGCAGGUGUUUAUGACGCCUGAAGGAAAAGGGUGGGGUCUGCAAGCACUGGAUGAACUGCCUAAAGGUGCAUUUGUAUGAUGAUGAAGCUCUUUGUUUGGAUUCAACGACCUUUGGAAACAUUGCUAGGUUUAUCAACCAUAGGUAUUUGUUUGUUUU